GACGAACGCUGGCGGCGUGCCUAAUACAUGCAAGUUGAGCGCUGAAGGUUGGUACUUGUACCAACUGGAUGAGCAGCGAACGGGUGAGUAACGCGUGGGGAAUCUGCCUUUGAGCGGGGGACAACAUUUGGAAACGAAUGCUAAUACCGCAUAAAAACUUUAAACACAAGUUUUAAGGUUGAAAGAUGCAAUUGCAUCACUCAAAGAUGAUCCCGCGUUGUAUUAGCUAGUUGGUGAGGUAAAGGCUCACCAAGGCGAUGAUACAUAGCCGACCUGAGAGGGUGAUCGGCCACAUUGGGACUGAGACACGGCCCAAACUCCUACGGGAGGCAGCAGUAGGGAAUCUUCGGCAAUGGACGAAAGUCUGACCGAGCAACGCCGCGUGAGUGAAGAAGGUUUUCGGAUCGUAAAACUCUGUUGGUAGAGAAGAACGUUGGUGAGAGUGGAAAGCUCAUCAAGUGACGGUAACUACCCAGAAAGGGACGGCUAACUACGUG
rnacentral:rRNA from 1 species